rnacentral:rRNA from 1 species
AACGAACGCUGGCGGCGUGGAUAAGACAUGCAAGUCGGACGAGACGAGAGCUUAGCUUGCUUUGCUUAAGUCUAGUGGCGAACGGGUGAGUAACACGUGAGCAACCUGCCCAGAAGCAGGGGAUAGCCCACCGAAAGGUGGAUUAAUACCGUAUGUGAUCCCGCAGGGCCUCCUGUGGUGAUUAAAGCCGGGGACCUUCGGGCCUGGCACUUCUGGAUGGGCUCGCGGCCUAUCAGCUUGUUGGUGAGGUAACGGCUCACCAAGGCGACGACGGGUAGCUGGUCUGAGAGGAUGAUCAGUCACACUGGAACUGAGACACGGUCCAGACACCUACGGGUGGCAGCAGUCGAGAAUCAUUCGCAAUGGGCGCAAGCCUGACGGUGCGACGCCGCGUGGAGGAUGACAGCUCUAGGGUUGUAAACUCCUGUCAUGAGAGAGUAAAGGCUUGCCGUUAAUAGCGGUCGGGUCCUGAUAGUAUCUCAAGAGGAAGGGACGGCUAACUUCGUGCCAGCCGCCGCCGUAACAC